UACGUAGGGGGCUAGCGUUGUCCGGAUUUAUUGGGCGUAAAGAGCGUGUAGGCGGCCAGGUAGGUCCGCUGUGAAAGUCCGAGGCUCAACCUCGGAAUGUCGGCGGAAACCCUCUGGCUAGAGUCCGGAAGAGGAGAGUGGAAUUCCCGGUGUAGCGGUGAAAUGCGCAGAUAUCGGGAAGAACACCCGUGGCGAAGGCGGCUCUCUGGAACGGUACUGACGCUGAGACGCGAAAGCGUGGGGAGCAAACAGG
rnacentral:rRNA from 1 species